rnacentral:rRNA from 1 species
ACACGUGGGUAACCUGCCUUAUAGUGGGGGGAUAGCCUUUCGAAAGGAAGAUUAAUACCGCAUAAGAUUGUAGUAUCGCAUGAUAUAGCAAUUAAAGGAGCAAUUCGCUAUAAGAUGGACCCGCGUCGCAUUAGCUAGUUGGUGAGGUAAUGGCUCACCAAGGCGACGAUGCGUAGCCGACCUGAGAGGGUGAUCGGCCACAUUGGGACUGAGACACGGCCCAGACUCCUACGGGAGGCAGCAUG